rnacentral:misc_RNA from 1 species
GGGUGUCCGCACUAAGUUCGGCAUCAAUAUGGUGACCUCCCGGGAGCGGGGGACCACCAGGUUGCCUAAGGAGGGGUGAACCGGCCCAGGUCGGAAACGGAGCAGGUCAAAACUCCCGUGCUGAUCAGUAGUGGGAUCGCGCCUA